AUGCUGCCACUGUACUCAACAUUGUCUGUAUGUUUCCUGGCAUGUCAUAUUGCCCGGGAAGCCAUCCUACCGACUGACAUCUAUAGGUGGGCAAUGGAGGGUAAGCUUCCUUAUAUGGCAGCAUUUACCGAAGUGGACAGGCUUCUUGGGAGCUCUGUAAAACACUGCCCUUUGAGUGCAAGACAACUAUUCAGACCAGUCCGAGUGAUUGGAACAUGGCAACUGGAAGCUGCAGCUGGGUCCAUUGCACAACGAAUAGGAUUGCAGCUUCCUUCAGUUAAUUUCUAUGCUAUUGCUCAAUGCUACUUGAAUGAGUUGUCUCUGCCGAUAGAAAGAAUCCUCCCUCAUGCUUGCCGCAUCUAUGAGUGGGCAUUGCCUGCAGAACUAUGGUUGUCUAGUAAUCCAUUAAGGGUCCCCACACGGGUCUGUGUAAUGGCUAUACUAAUAGUGGCUCUAAGAGUUCAGUAUAACAUCCAUGGUCAAGGGAUAUGGGAGGAGAUUUGUGAGACAGGAAGAAAUGCAGAUGGGUCUGAUCCUGAUGAGAAUUUACCACCAUCUAUGAGGCCUGAAGGCGGCACUAGUGAGGAAUUUGGCACAAGGGAAUUGCUAUGCACUCUUGCAAGUGCCUAUGAUAAAAUUGAUGUUGCGCAUGACUAUUCAAAGGACCUUCACUCUUAUCUCAAGUACUGCAAAGAUAUUGUUUUCCCUGGGAUUGCAUGUUCAAUUGAAGAGGAUCACUUAAUAGAGAUCUUUCAGGAUAUGUACAAAGGACGAGAGGAUGGGAAUCCAAAAGCUCGCAUGGAGGAAACGCAAACCACGAAUGGAGUGAUGAAUAAACGAUGUCGGGAUGGAACUUCUGUUGGUGCAAGGAGCAUUUCUGCAUCAUCAUCAGGGAUCCAAAGGAUCAAGUCGGAAAUGGAAGAUCAUGGGUUUUGUUAUCUGCCGCCAAGGAAGUUGCUUAGAUCAAAUGGCUACCUUCACUAUAGAAGGAAGACAAUAACCGGUAGUCUUGUUUGCAUCGGACAUGCUGAUUAUUACGUGCUGAUACGCUCAUUUGCAAAGCUUGCAGAAGUUGAUGUUAGGGUUCUGCAUACCAGUGUGCUAAAACUUGAGAGGAGACUUGCCUGGAUAGACGAGCGGAUAGGCAGAAGCUUGGAUGCCUUGCAGAAUCCACCUAUUAGCUAA
rnacentral:rRNA from 1 species